AUGUCAGUAGUCUCGGUAACGAGCGCACCAUGUCUCUUGUUGCUCAUUGAGUGCUUAAGAGAGACUGCCGACCAACAUCGGAGGAAGGUGUGGAUGAUGUCAAGUCAGCAUGCCCCUUACAUCCUGGGCUACACACGUACUACAAUGGUAGGGACAAUGAGCUGCGAUCCUGCGAAGGCUAGCCAAUCUCAAAAACCCUAUCUCAGCUUCGGAUUGUACUCUGCAACUCGAGUACAUGAAGGUGGAAUCGCUAGUAAUCGCUGGUCAGCUAUACAGCGGUGAAUACGUUCCCGGGUUUUGUACACACUGCCCGUCACACCAUGGAAGCCGACUCUUCCCUAAGUCGUUACUCGAACCCAUUGGGACGAGGAUGCCGAAGGCAGGGUUGGUGACUAGGGUGAAGUCGUAACAAGGUAGCCGUACCGGAAGGUGCGGCUGGAACACCUCCUUUCU
rnacentral:rRNA from 1 species